AGCAGCCGCGGUAAUUCCAGCUCCAAUAGCGUAUAUUAAAGUUGUUGCAGUUAAAAAGCUCGUAGUUGAAUUUCGGGAUCAAUAUGUCUGUCGUGCCUUCGGUACGUACGGGUAUAAUUGGUUUCUACCUUCUGAUGAACCUUGAUGCCAUUAAUUUGGUGUCUUGGGGACUCAGGACUGUUACCUUGAAAAAUUAGAGUGUUUAAAGCAGGCAUGCGCUUGAAUACAUUAGCAUGGAAUAAUGAAAUAGGACGUUCGAUUCUAUUUUGUUGGUUUCUAGGAUCGACGUAAUGAUUAAUAGGGAUAGUUGGGGGCAUUAGUAUUCAAUUGUCAGAGGUGAAAUUCUUGGAUUUAUUGAAGACUAACUACUGCGAAAGCAUUUGCCAAGGAUGUUUUCAUUAAUCAAGAACGAAAGUUAGGGGAUCGAAGACGAUCAGAUACCGUCGUAGU
rnacentral:rRNA from 1 species